rnacentral:piRNA from 1 species
UAGCUGUCUAUAACGGUCCUUUGACAUGGU